UUUGUUCUCUCUCUCUUAUCAUAUAGCUGUUACUCUUUCUCCUUGAUAUUUUCGCUUUCUCUCUCUCGGGUAACGCACUGGUCGCGCUUCUUCGUUGCAGCACUGAGUGAGGUGGUUCACUCUCUCUGCCUCUUUCUCUUCUCUAUCCCUAGAAACAAACCAUCAUAUUCUCAGAUCUAUACCAAAAGCAAAACCCUAAACACUUCCUUGCCUUGUUUUGGUUCCUCUUCUGAUUUGAUCUCAUCAUCAAUGGCUUUCGCAUGCAGUAGAAUCGCGCAACGAACAUCAAUUUCAUCUAUAAAAUCAGCCAUCAAAUUCAACAUUCGCGCUUCUUCAUUCUCCAAACCAGCUUCCUCCUUUUCUCCUAUUCACAAUCCUUAUUGACCAGGAUUUCGCAGGAGCUGAGAUGCACGCAGUUGAUGUUGCCGCUGCACAGCACGGUGGUGGCGGCGAGAAUGACGUCGUGUCUGACUUUCAAAAGUUGUCGAGCGCUUUCACCGGAGUUCUUUAAAAAGGAGCCUAGGUGGACUAUGUGUGCAAUUCUCAGCCCAACUUUUAAAAUACGGGAGUUUCAGGUAAAAAUUUUCCCUGCCAUUGUAAUGUUUUAAAAUUACUCAAUAUAAAACUGUUCAGAUCUUUUUAGGAAUUUUAUAUUGUGACAACCAGGCCAAGUUUCCUCAUCAAUGUUCCCCAAAACACUUACAAUUCUGCUGACUUUGAAAUAUUCUUCAUGACUCAAGGUUCCCUGAUUUGGAUUUUCAUAUGCAGUUUGGUUUAAGUUAACUAAUUGAGAAAUAGAUUUACGAUGUUGGGUUGAGCUUUCAUCAUAUAAUAAACUAGGAAUAGUUUUGAAGCAUAACUUUUCCUUUUCUGCUGUUUGGGUUAAAAUGACCAUGAUUGUUAGUUAUCAAUGUCGAAUGUAAUUCCUGUUACAUGGUUUGUGACAAUCAUUGUGUUCCUUUCUUGAGAAUCUUUCAGUCCAAUUAUUUGAUGUGUAGUCAUGGUAUAUAUCAAAAUCUAUUAACUAAUAGACCAUUCUCUGUAAGGCUUCUUUUUGACCUUGGACCUCGGUGUAACUGGUUUUUGAAAAAUACUUGUUUAGGAUAUCUUGUGUCACAUAGCUUGGACUAAUCCAUUUCAUUAUUAGUAGAGCUCCUUUGACAUGAUCAUAUCCUGUACUUCAUGUUAGUUACUUUCUAUUUCUACGUAAUUUAUCGCAUUAUAAGUGUAUGUUCCUCUUCCUUUAAUUACACUCUAUAAUUUAUCGCAGGGUGUUUAUAA